UAGUUGGUGGAGUGAUUUGUCUGGUUAAUUCCGUUAACGAACGAGACCUCGACCUACUAAAUAGUAAACAUGAUCCUAGAUCGUGUGUGACUUCUUAGAGGGACUCUCGGUGUGUAGCCGAUGGAAGUUCGAGGCAAUAACAGG
rnacentral:rRNA from 1 species